UGCAGUCAAGUCAAAUUCAGUCCCUGUCCUGUCAUGGUGGGAACUGGCCCAGAUGGCUGCCACAGCAAGCUCUGCUGCUCAUGGGCCCUAGGUCUCCUUACUCUGGGACCCGGGGAUAAGUUUGGUUGCAGACAUUG
rnacentral:snoRNA from 1 species